CUUCGGGCUCCGCACAACGUUCGUCUCCAACGAACCCCGCCAGGCCGGGAACGGAGCAACGGUAGUUGCGAGCGCGUGUGUUGCGGGUCGGCCCGGAGUCU
rnacentral:SRP_RNA from 1 species